rnacentral:rRNA from 1 species
GGAUAACCUACCCUUAGGACUGGGAUAACCUUGGGAAACUGAGGCUAAUACCGGAUAGGCAAUUUUUCCUGUAAUGGUUUUUUGUUUAAAUGUUUUUUCGCCUAAGGAUGGGUCUGCGGCCGAUUAGGUAGUUGGUUAGGUAAUGGCUUACCAAGCCGUUGAUCGGUACGGGUUGUGAGAGCAAGAGCCCGGAGAUGGAACCUGAGACAAGGUUCCAGGCCCUACGGGGUGCAGCAGGCGCGAAACCUCCGCAAUGUGAGAAAUCGCGACGGGGGGAUCCCAAGUGCCAUUCUUAACGGGAUGGCUUUUCAUUAGUGUAAAGAGCUUUUGGAAUAAGGGCUGGGCAAGACCGGUGCCAGCCGCCGCGGUAACACCGGCAGCUCUAGUGGUAGCAGUUUUUAUUGGGCCUAAAGCGUCCGUAGCCGGUUUAAUGAGUCUCUGGUGAAAUCCUGUAGCUUAACUGUGGGAAUUGCUGGAGAUACUAUUAGACUUGAGACCGGGAGAGGUUAGAGGUACUCCCAGGGUAGAGGUGAAAUUCUGUAAUCCUGGGAGGACCGCCUGUUGCGAAGGCGUCUAACUGGAACGGUUCUGACGGUGAGGGACGAAAGUUAGGGGCGCGAACCGGAUUAGAUACCCGGGUAGUCCUAACCGUAAACGAUGCGGACUUGGUGUUGGGGUGGCUUUGAGCUGCUCCAGUGC